CUACGGGAGGCUGCAGUGGGGAAUAUUGCACAAUGGACGAAAGUCUGAUGCAGCAACGCCGCGUGGAGGAUGACACAUUUCGGUGCGUAAACUCCUUUUAUAUAGGAAGAUAAUGACGGUACUAUAUGAAUAAGCGCCGGCUAACUCCGUGCCAGCAGCCGCGGUAAUACGGAGGGCGCAAGCGUUACUCGGAAUCACUGGGUGUAAAGAGCGUGUAGGCGGAUAGAUAAGUCAGGAGUGAAAUCCUAUGGCUCAACCAUAGAACUGCUCUUGAAACUGUCUAUCUAGAAUAUGGGAGAGGUAGAUGGAAUUUCUGGUGUAGGGGUAAAAUCCGUAGAGAUCAGAAGGAAUACCGAUUGCGAAGGCGAUCUACUGGAACAUUAUUGACGCUGAGACGCGAAAGCGUGGGGAGCAAACAGGAUUAGAUACCCCGGUAGUC
rnacentral:rRNA from 1 species